rnacentral:rRNA from 1 species
GUAGUCAUAUGCUUGUCUCAAAGAUUAAGCCAUGCAUGUCUAAGUAUAAGCAAUUAUACAGCGAAACUGCGAAUGGCUCAUUAAAUCAGUUAUCGUUUAUUUGAUAGUACCUUACUACUUGGAUAACCGUGGUAAUUCUAGAGCUAAUACAUGCUAAAAACCCCGACUCACGAAGGGGUGUAUUUAUUAGGUUAAAAGCCAAUGCCCUUCGGGGCUCACUGGUGAUUCAUAAUAACUUGUCUAAUCGCAUGGCCUUGCGCCGGCGAUGGUUCAUUCAAAUUUCUGCCCUAUCAACUUUCGACGGCUGGGUCUUGGCCAGCCAUGGUGACAACGGGUAACGGAGGGUUAGGGCUCGACCCCGGAGAACGAGCCUGAGAAACGGCUAUUACAUCCAAGGAAGGCAGCAGGCGCGCAAAUUACCCAAUACCGACUCGGUGAGGUAGUGACGAUAAAUACUGAUACAGGGCUCUUUUGGGUCUUGUAAUUGGAAUGAGUACAAUUUAAAUCCCUUAACGAGGAACAAUUGGGGGGCAAGUCUGGUGCCAGCAGCC